rnacentral:misc_RNA from 1 species
GAUGAAGAACGUAGCGAAAUGCGAUAAGUAAUGUGAAUUGCAGAAUUCAGUGAAUCAUCGAAUCUUUGAACGCACAUUGCGCCCGCCAGUAUUCUGGCGAGCAUGCCUGUUCGAGCGUCAUUUCAACCAUCAAGCCCCAGGCUUGUGUUGGAGCCCUGCGGCUGCCGCAGCCUCCCAAAACCAGUGGCGGGCUCGCUAUCACACCGAGUGCAGUAGUUUACUCUUUGCUCAGGGCGUGUGGCGGGUGCUAGCCGUGAAACCCCCAACUUCUCAAGGUUGACCUCGGAUCAGGUAGGAAUACCCGCUGAACUUAAGCAUAUCAAUAAGCGGAGGA